ensembl:lncRNA
CAGCCUUGGUGACCGUGAAGGAGCACAGAGAUGGCUUCUCUCCUUGGCCUGAACUCGAUGAGGAUCCGGAGCCUUGAAAGUACACGCCCGUCCUCAGCCAGUCCAGACAAAUUGGGGUCUCCACUCAUGACUUUUAAGCUUCAACCUGCUGGUCUGCCUCUCACUGUCUCUGCACACUCCAAAGAAAGGCUACGGCCAAAGGCCCGAAUUUGCUGGCUUCGCUGGGACCAGACUGGUUAUCCAUUUUAAAUAAAGUAGUAUGUGUAUGUCUAUCUCAAACUUCCCAACUAUCCCUUCCCCUAACCUUCCCCUCUGGUAUCCAUAAGAGUGUUUUUGUUUUGUUUGGAAAAACACCCAGGAGUGGAAUUGCUGGAAGUGAUGUGUUAGUCACUCAGUCAUAUCAGACCCCAUGAACUGUAGCCCUCCAAGGCUCCUCUGUCCAUAGGAUUCUCCAGGGAAGAAUACUGGAGUGGGUUGCCCUUUCCCUCCUCCAGGGGAUCUUCCCAACCUAGGGACUGAACCCUGAUCUCCCGCAUUGCAAGCAGAUUCUUUACCAUUUGAACCACCAGGGAAGCCCAUGGAAUUGCUGGGUUGUAUGAAUUGUGUCGGUUUCUGCCAAACAUCAACAUGAAUCAGCCCUAUGAUAUAGAUAUGUCUCUACUUGUUAUAUAUGGACUUCCCUGGUGGCUCAGACGGUAAAGCAUCUGCUGACAAUGCAGGAGACCCGGGUUCAAUCCUUGGGUUGGGAAGAUCUCCUGGAGAAGGAAAUGGCAAUCCACUCCAGUAUUCUUGCUUGGAAUGGAAAUCCCAUGAACAGAGGUGCCUGGUAGGCUACAGUCCAUGGGGUCGCAAAGAGUCGGACACGACUGAGCGACUUCACUUUCACUAUUUGUUAUAUAUAGAUAUCAUUUUAAAUAUGAUAUGUCUCUACCUUUGGGUGGUAUCACAGAAAUUAAUUUG